GACGAACGCUGGCGGCGUGCUUAACACAUGCAAGUCGAACGGAAAGGCCCCUUUGGGGGUACUCGAGUGGCGAACGGGUGAGUAACACGUGAGUAACCUGCCCUUGACUUCGGGAUAACUUCAGGAAACUGGGGCUAAUACCGGAUAGGAAUCCUUGCUGCAUGGUGGGGGUUGGAAAGCUUCGGCGGUUUUGGAUGGACUCGCGGCUUAUCAGCUUGUUGGUGGGGUAGUGGCUUACCAAGGCUUUAACGGGUAGCCGGCCUGAGAGGGCGACCGGCCACAUUGGGACUGAGAUACGGCCCAGACUCCUACGGGAGGCAGCAGUGGGGAAUAUUGCACAAUGGGCGGAAGCCUGAUGCAGCAACGCCGCGUGCGGGAUGACGGCCUUCGGGUUGUAAACCGCUUUCAGCAGGGGCGAAGCUUGUGGUGACGGUACCUGCAGAAGAAGCACCGGCUAACUACGUG
rnacentral:rRNA from 1 species